AUACAGUGAUGAGCUUCUACUUCAUGGUCCGUGUUGUUGAAACUAUGUGAUAUUUACCGAAGUUCUGAGUGA
ensembl:snoRNA SNORD18 Small nucleolar RNA SNORD18